ensembl:lncRNA
GUCUUAGAAAAUGAAAAAUUUAUUGUAUGCCUAACGAUUUGAGUAUAAUAGAAAUGAAUUAUUUAUUUUCUGAUGCUACUUAGGUCUGCAUGUGACCACGCUUGUGUAACACUAAAUAGCUGGGUGAAAAUGGCAAUCAGCUAACCUUAGAGCUGGCAAUGCAUUUGGUCCAGUGUAACUAACUCUUCAAGGCAUGCUAGUUGUUGGUAGUAUUGAAAACGAAAUCAACAACAGAAAAAGGGCCAUCUUUAAGAGUAAAGUCUGCAGCCGGCCAGAGAAAAGAUUUGGGACAUGUGUUUCCCACCUCACAACGGUCACCCUGUUCUGUGGGACAGGCAUCUAUGCCUAUCUCUGGCCCAGCAACAACUACUCUCAGGAUCAGGGCAAGUUCAUAUCUCUCUUCUACACCAUCCCAUGGUCAACCCCGUUAUGUAUAUGCUGCAGAACAAGGAUAUGAAAGGAGCAAUGAAGAAGGUGCUUUGGAAGGACUGUGACUCUAGAUAACUGGUUAAGGAAGAUGUGUUAAUGCAAGAAGUUUGAAUACGAGAGUCCUUAAGAUGUUUGCAUCCUGCGUGUGUCACCCUAAUUUCCCCUGACAGCUCUCAAGGGAAUUUCUCGCUUCAUUCUCCUAUGAAAGGCUUGGUCCUCCUGGGAUUUUGACCGAAAGUCUGGAAAGUCUUUUAUCGGUCCUGAAAGACUCUGGAAGAUUAUGUUCUGCCCUUCAGCUUAGCUACUUAGUCCCCUGCUCUAUGCAGCUCAAAAUUUGGCAAAUGCCUUAAUAAAGAGAGCUAUGUGGUAGAGAUAGGACUCUCCCUAGUGGGUAUGCAUUUCUCAAGCACAAUAAAAGUGCAAGAUGUUUUAUUUUAUAUUUUUGAAGCUAUUGGUCUAACUCUCUGGUUUCCCACGUGGUCCACUGAUUAUGGAAAUUUCCACUGGAAACAUCUGGCCAUGUAUUUGAAGUCUCUUAGGUUUCCAUUUGUCACUUCAGCCUUACAUGACUGUUAUGAUGGUUUCUUUUCCUUCUGGCAAAGGCCUUCUCUCUGGGCCAAGACCAAUCAUCAGCUCACAUUCAGGCUCUGCAAAUGCUCCCUGGGAAAAAGAAUACUGGCACUCAUCAGUUCAGUUCAGAAGGUUCUGUCCUCUGUAAGUCUCAUCUACAUCACUCUUGUCACUUCCACAGCUCUCUAAUGUCUUCAAAAGUAUGAUUGCUAAAAGUUCAUCUGGCUUUUUCAAGUAAUUUCAGUGGGAAUAUUGGCCUGUUACAACCUAAUACAUCCUAUCUGGAAGUGGAAGUCACACAAGGCUACCUUGAAUGGGAUAAUAAAUUGAGUUAGUGAAUGGAAGCAAUGUUUAUUUGCUGAAAAAGCAAAAGUAAACACCUAGAUGGAUAUAGAGUAUGGAACCUUUGUGUCACAAAAAUGAUAUGGUUAUCAGUGAAGUUAGUUGUUAUGUUUGAAAGAAAAGUCUAAGGAAUUAUUAUUAAAAUAAUCAUGUCUGUGGCAAGUAGAACCUCCAACC